AUACCGUGGUGGGGGAAUUUCCUCAAUAACUCCUUGAAGCGCUCCCAAGCAUCAUAUAAUGACUCUCCAUCCAUCUGAUAGAAAUUAUUAAUUUCGCACCUUAAUUU